GGCAAGGUGGCCGAGCGGUCCAAGGCGCCAGGUUCAGGUCCACCUGAAUUCUUAAAUCUUGUAAGAGAUUUCCUGGUCUCAGUAAUGGGGCGUGAGUUCGAAUCUCACCCUUGUCA
rfam:Myceliophthora thermophila ATCC 42464 chromosome 2, complete sequence.